rnacentral:rRNA from 1 species
AGAGUUUGAUCAUGGCUCAGAGCGAACGCUGGCGGCAGGCCUAACACAUGCAAGUCGAACGAACCCUUCGGGGUUAGUGGCGGACGGGUGAGUAACACGUGGGAACGUACCUUUAGGUUCGGAACAACACAGGGAAACUUGUGCUAAUGCCGAAUGUGCCCUUCGGGGAAAGAUUUAUCGCCUUUAGAGCGGCCCGCGUCUGAUUAGCUUGUUGGUGAGGUAAAGGCUCACCAAGGCUUCGAUCAGUAGCUGGUCUGAGAGGAUGAUCAGCCACACUGGGACUGAGACACGGCCCAGACUCCUACGGGAGGCAGCAGUGGGGAUCUUGCGCAAUGGGCGAAAGCCUUACGCAGCCAUGCCGCGUGAAUGAUGAAGGUCUUAGGAUUGUAAAAUUCUUUCACCGGGGAAGAUAAUGACGGUACCCGGAGAAGAAGCCCCGGCUAACUUCGUG